UUCACCAUUCAACCCAAUUCUAAAUGUUUGGAGAAAAGAAUAAAAUAGUGGUUCUGAAGCAGCAAAAAGUGUUAUACUUGGCCCUUGGCCCGUAGGCUGGUGUAGACAUAAGAUUUAUAAACAGCAGGGUAGAAACAGGAAAUCACAGGUCAGAUAAUUCUUUAGGUGUAGGAAGAAAAGAUACAUUUAAAAUUUGAGUCAAUAUGAAGGAAGAGAAAACAGAAAUCCCAUUCGCCAAAAUCAGCUCUAAUCCAGGAAGGCUGUCAAGAAGGACGUGGGAUUCACAGGCCUCUGCAGAGAAGGCGAUGGCACCCCACUCCAGUACUCUUGCCUGGAAAAUCCCAUGGAUGCAGGAGCCUGGUAAG
ensembl:lncRNA